UACGUUCCCGGCUUGUACACACCGCCCGUCAAGUCACGAAAGUCGGUAACACCCGAAGCCGGUGGCCCAACUCGUAAGAGGGGGAGCCGUCGAAGGUGGGACUGGCGAUUGGGACU
rnacentral:rRNA from 1 species